UACGAAGGGGGCUAGCGUUGCUCGGAAUCACUGGGCGUAAAGCGCACGUAGGCGGUUCUUUAAGUCAGAGGUGAAAUCCCAAGGCUCAACCUUGGAACUGCCUUUGAUACUGGGGAUCUCGAGUCCGGAAGAGGUGAGUGGAACUGCGAGUGUAGAGGUGAAAUUCGUAGAUAUUCGCAAGAACACCAGUGGCGAAGGCGGCUCACUGGUCCGGUACUGACGCUGAGGUGCGAAAGCGUGGGGAGCAAACAGG
rnacentral:rRNA from 1 species